GGAUGCGGAGGUGUUGGUAGGGACGGAACUCGGGGCGCGGGCGGUGGCCCGAGUGGAGAUAGGAGUUGAAGGUGCAGAGGGCCACGCUGGGCAGCGCCAGCACGAAGGUCAGCAGACGCCAGGUCUUCUCCCCUGGGUGCGGAAGGACGCGCUGGGAGAGGGAGGUCUUCUCAUUGACACUGUCACCGCAGCUGCAGCAGCAGAAGGGACACACUCUCCUGUGUGAAUUCGCUGGUGGCCGAUCAGCUUCCACCGGUCCCCAAAAACCUGCUGGUACUGGGGACAGACGCAGGGCUUCGGCCAGUGUGUGCUCCUUGGUGAGCCAGCAGCAGAGCUGGCCGCUAAACCCUUGCCGCACUCCCGCAGACGAAUGGCUUCUCCCGAGUGGACUCGCUGGUGCUUGAUGAGGUUGGAGCGGCCACAGCAGGUCUUGCCGCACUGGGGACAGCGACAAGGUCUCUCGCCAGUCGCUGUGGACCCGCCAGUGCUGGAGGAGGGAUGCGCUCUGAGUAAAACCCCUCCCGCAGGCCUUGCACUUGCAGGGCUGACGGCCCUGGGUGAAUCUGCCGGUGCUGCAGCAGCGGAUACUUGGCUCUUAUCUCAGGACCUGACCUCCCACUGAGCUCCAAGCCUGCAAAGCAUGCUGCCACCCAGUUAUUUCCCCCUUAACAUCCUGCCAUCACUUCAAAUUUAAUACCCCUAUGCCAAAAAAUCACUGACUCCUAAUUUCACUUUUGUUGGUGGCACCAGUUUUAUUCUCUUGGACACCUAAGCUCAAAAACAGUGGAACUUCUUUUGACUCAUCGCUCUCCUUCCUUCCCUAGAAGUGAGCUACCAUUUAAAAGUGAUGUGCUCAUUCUCAGCAAACUAUCCCAAGGACAAAAAAAUAAACACCGCAUGUUCCCACUCAUAGGUGGGAAUUGAAC
rnacentral:lncRNA from 1 species